rnacentral:rRNA from 1 species
AGAGUUUGAUCCUGGCUCAGAGCGAACGCUGGCGGCAGGCUUAACACAUGCAAGUCGAGCGGGCGUAGCAAUACGUCAGCGACAGACGGGUGAGUAACGCGUGGGAACGUACCUUUUGGUUCGGAACAACACAGGGAAACUUGUGCUAAUACCGAAUAAGCCCUUACGGGGAAAGAUUUAUCGCCGAAAGAUCGGCCCGCGUCUGAUUAGCUAGUUGGUGAGGUAACGGCUCACCAAGGCGACGAUCAGUAGCUGGUCUGAGAGGAUGAUCAGCCACAUUGGGACUGAGACACGGCCCAAACUCCUACGGGAGGCAGCAGUGGGGAAUAUUGGACAAUGGGGGCAACCCUGAUGCAGCAACGCCGCGUGAGGGACGACGGCCUUCGGGUUGUAAACCUCUUUUAGUAGGGAAGAAGCGAAAGUGACGGUACCUGCAGAAAAAGCACCGGCUAACUACGUGCCAGCAGCCGCGGUAAUACGUAGGGUGCAAGCGUUAUCCGGAAUUAUUGGGCGUAAAGAGCUCGUAGGCGGUUUGUCGCGUCUGCUGUGAAAACUGGGGGCUCAACCCCCAGCCUGCAGUGGGUACGGGCAGACUAGAGUGCGGUAGGGGAGAUUGGAAUUCCUGGUGUAGCGGUGGAAUGCGCAGAUAUCAGGAGGAACACCGAUGGCGAAGGCAGAUCUCUGGGCCGUAACUGACGCUGAGGAGCGAAAGCAUGGGGAGCGAACAGGAUUAGAUACCCUGGUAGUCCAUGCCGUAAACGUUGGGAACUAGAUGUAGGGGCCAUUCCACGGUCUCUGUG